rnacentral:rRNA from 1 species
ACUUUAAUUGAAGAGUUUGAUCAUGGCUCAGAUUGAACGCUGGCGGCAGGCCUAACACAUGCAAGUCGAGCGGUAACAGAAAAGAAGCUUGCUUCUUUUGCUGACGAGCGGCGGACGGGU